rnacentral:tRNA from 1 species
GCGGGGGUGGCGGAAUUGGUAGACGCAGUGGCCUCAAAAGCCACCGGUUGAGAGACCGUGCGGGUUCGAGUCCCGCUCCCCGCACCA